CGCAGCCGCGGUAAUUCCAGCUCCAAUAGCGUAUAUUAAAGUUGUUGCAGUUAAAAAGCUCGUAGUUGAAUUUCGGGACCAAUAUGUCGGUCGUGCCUCGGUACGUACUGGUGUCAUUGGUUUCCCCCUUCUGAGGAUCCUUGAUGUCAUUAAUUUGGUGUCUUGGGGAAUCAGGACUGUUACCUUGAAAAAAUUAGAGUGUUUAAAGCAGGCAUACGCUUGAAUACAUUAGCAUGGAAUAAUGAAAUAGGACGUUCGAUUCUAUUUUGUUGGUUUCUAGGAUCGACGUAAUGAUUAAUAGGGAUAGUUGGGGGCAUUAGUAUUCAAUUGUCAGAGGUGAAAUUCUUGGAUUUAUUGAAGACUAACUACUGCGAAAGCAUUUGCCAAGGAUGUUUUCAUUAAUCAAGAACGAAAGUUAGGGGAUCGAAGACGAUCAGAUACCGUCGUAGUCUUAACCAUAAACUAUGCCGACUAGGGAUCGGAUGAUGUUAAUUUUUUAAUGACUCAUUCGGCGCCUUAC
rnacentral:rRNA from 1 species